GGGCUUAUAGUUUAAUUGGUUCAAACGCACCGCUCAUAAAGGUGAUAUUGUCGGAUCGAGUCCUACUAAGCGUA
rnacentral:tRNA from 1 species